rnacentral:tRNA from 1 species
GUCUCAGUAGCAUAGUGGUUAGUACAGAGCUCCGGAUAGGUUGAGAUGUGGGUUCGAAUCCCGCCUAAGAUG